UUUAAUUGGAGAGUUUGAUCCUGGCUCAGAAUGAACGCUGGCGGCGUGCUUAACACAUGCAAGUCGAACGAGAAAGUUUUCUUCGGAAAACGAGUACAGUGGCGCACGGGUGAGUAACGCGUGAAUAAUCUACCCCUGAAUUUGGGAUAACAGUUCGAAAGGGCUGCUAAUACCGGAUGACAUAACCCUUACCACGGUUUGGGUUAUCAAAGAGGGCCUCUCCUUGGAA
rnacentral:rRNA from 1 species